GCUACGGGGUGCAGCAGUGGGGAAUAUUGGACAAUGGGCGAAAGCCUGAUCCAGCCAUGCCGCGUGUGUGAAGAAGGCCUUCGGGUUGUAAAGCACUUUCAGUGGGGAAGAAAGCCUUGGGGCUAAUACCCUCGAGGAAGGACAUCACCCACAGAAGAAGCACCGGCUAACUCCGUGCCAGCAGCCGCGGUAAUACGGAGGGUGCGAGCGUUAAUCGGAAUUACUGGGCGUAAAGCGCGCGUAGGCGGUCUGAUAAGCCGGUUGUGAAAGCCCCGGGCUCAACCUGGGAACGGCAUCCGGAACUGUCAGGCUAGAGUGCAGGAGAGGAAGGUAGAAUUCCCGGUGUAGCGGUGAAAUGCGUAGAGAUCGGGAGGAAUACCAGUGGCGAAGGCGGCCUUCUGGACUGACACUGACGCUGAGGUGCGAAAGCGUGGGUAGCAAACAGGAUUAGAUACCCCAGUAGUC
rnacentral:rRNA from 1 species